AGCUAAUUAGCUAGCCCCACCCACACAAACAACAAGCCACCAUAAAUAACCCCUAACGCACCUGCAAAUGAUUAAGCCAAACCAUUUUUCCCCUUGAGUACGGGAGACGGAAAAAGAGCACCGGAGCAAUAGAGAAAGUACCGUAAGGGAACGCUGAAAGAGAUAUGAUAUAGACCAGUUAAGCUUGAGACAGCAGAGAUUAAACCUCGUACCUUUUGCAUCAUGAUUUAGCCAGUACCCCCAAGCAAAGAGCGCUUUAGUUUGUCACCCCGAAACUAAGGGAGCUACUCCAAGACAGCCUAUUUAUAGGGCAAACCCGUCUCUGUUGCAAAAGAGUGGGAAGAGCUUUGAGUAGAGGUGAUAGACCUACCGAACUUAGUUAUAGCUGGUUGCCUGAGAAAUGAAUAGUAGUUCAGCCUCCUGGAUUCUCCACUCAACACUGCAACAGUGCUUUUAUAGACUCCGAGAAUGCCAAGAGAGUCAGUCACAGGGGGUUCAGCCCCUUUGACCCAAGACACAGCUUUUUUAGGAGAGUAAAGAUCAUAAUAAACCAAAGAGAUGUGUCCCAGUGGGCCUGAAAGCAGCCAUCCUCACAGAAAGCGUCAAAGCUUAAACACUUAUUCUAAAUCUCUAACAAUUCAGAUAAUCAGAUCUAACCCCCCUAACCCUAUCAGGCCCUCCUAUGCCCCCAUAGGAGCGAUAAUGCUAAUAUGAGUAAUAAGAAGGACACCCCUUCUCCUAGCACACGUGUAUAUCGGAACGAACCCGCACCGAACAUUAACGGCCCCAAUGAAAGAGGGAACUGAAUAAUUAACCAGACGGACCAGAAAACCCUUCACCGCACCACCGUUGACCCUACACUGGUGUGCUCAUUAGGAAAGACCUAAAGAGGGAGAAGGAAUUCAGCAAACACUUUGCCUCGCCUGUUUACCAAAAACAUCGCCUCUUGUUUUUCCCAUAUAAGAGGUCUCGCCUGCCCACUGACUAUAUGUUCAACGGCCGCGGUAUCUUGACCGUGCGAAGGUAGCGUAAUCAUUUGUCUUUUAAAUGAAGACCAGUAUGAAAGGCACCACGAGGGCUCGACUGUCUCCUCUCUCAAGUCAAUGAAAUUGAUCUUCCCGUGCAGAAGCGGGAAUAUACCCAUAAGACGAGAAGACCCUAUGGAGCUUUAGACUAUGAGGUGGACCAUGUUAAUUACGCCAAUAUAAAGCACUGAACUUAAUGAAGACCACCACAAUGUCUUGGGUUGGGGUGACCAUGGAGCAAUAAAAAGCCUCCAAGCGGAACGGGAGCAUUAUCCUCGUGUCUUUCAUCGUCACUUCAGUCUCGCUACUCCUAAAGCUGAGGGCUACAGCCCUAAUAAACAGAACUUCUGACCUAAAUUGAUCCGGCAACGCCGAUUAACGAACCAAGUUACCCUAGGGAUAACAGCGCAAUCCCCUUCUAGAGCCCCUAUCGACAAGGGGGUUUACGACCUCGAUGUUGGAUCAGGACAUCCUAAUGGUGCAGCCGCUAUUAAGGGUUCGUUUGUUCAACGAUUAAAGCCCUACGUGAUCUGAGUUCAGACCGGAGUAAUCCAGGUCAGUUUCUAUCUAUGACAUGGCCUUUUCUAGUACGAAAGGACCGAAAAGGGGGGGCCUAUAGCAAUAGCCAAGCCCCAUCCUCAUCUUAUGAAAGCAUCUAAAUCAGCUUAGAGGACAUACAAUCAUUUACGCCUAGAUAAUGGCACGCUGAAAUAAUGAUGACUAAAGAUUAGAUUCUUUCUAAAGGAAUAAAAUCCUUCUCAGCUAAGUUGGGGCAGUAAGGGCAACAGCUAAAU
rnacentral:rRNA from 1 species